AUGGCUUUUCUGACCUCGUGUGGAGUAUACUGCUACACGUGCAUGCCGUUUGGGUUGCGCAAUGCCGGAGCAACCUAUCAGCCGCUAAUGCACAUCGCCUUGGGUCAGCUGCUCGGGAGGAACGCCGAUGCAUACGUCGAGGACAUAGUGGUGAAAUCUCGGGAAGCGAGAACACUUAUCGAGGAUCUGGAGGAGACUUUCGCCAUUCUGCGCAAGGUAAACCUGUGGCUCAACCCAGAGAAAUGUAUAUUCGGUGUCCCGUCUGGCAAUCUACUAGGCUUCCUGGUGUCACACAGACGGAACGAGGCCAACCCAGAGAAAGUCAAGGCCAUAGAAAGGAUGAGCCCGUCGCAAACCCUCAAGGAGAUGCAUAAGCUGGCAGGCUGUGUGACCUUGCUCGGGCGCUUCAUCUCCAAACUGGGGGAGCGCGCCCUCCCCUUCUUCAAGCUGAUGAAAACGAAUGGCCCGUUCGAGUGGACUCUGGAGGCUGACGCAGCCUGA
rnacentral:rRNA from 1 species